GGAAAUGGCAAUCCACUCCAGUAUCCUUGCCUGGAAAAUCCCUUGUCAGAGGAGCCUGGCAGGCUACAGCCCACAGGGUCGCAAGAGUCGGACACGACUUAGCGACUAAACCACCACCACAUCUGAGGAGAAAGGCAGUAUGCAGAUGUGCAGAGGCUGGCAGGGGACCCGUUUCAGGGGAAAUCGUGAGUUCGGCUUUGGAUAUAUUGAGUUCACUGCAAAGUGGUGGAAAAAAUGCCAUACACGGUGACUUACACAAAGUUCCUGCUACCUUAGGACCAGAGGAGACCCAGGACACCAAGGGUAAUUGGGGCAGCCUCACCAGCUAAGUGCCUCCCUCCUGCUUCUAAGGCUUCCACAUUCUAGAUCUGCAUCUCAGCAAAAUUACAGCACAAAGGACUUGCCCAAACGCCACAGCUAGGAAACUUCAGCCCAGCUUCAAUCUGUGUUAGAUCGCCUUAAGGUGACCCCUGCCCUGGAACUGAAUUCUUGCUCAAGUGGAGCUGACCUGUUUGCGGUGGAGUCUCUCUCCUCUAUGCAGAAGUCUGAAUAAAAUC
ensembl:lncRNA